rnacentral:rRNA from 1 species
UUGACCUCGGAUCAGGUAGGGAUACCCGCUGAACUUAAGCAUAUCAAUAAGCGGAGGAAAAGAAACCAACAGGGAUUGCCUCAGUAACGGCGAGUGAAGCGGCAAGAGCUCAAAUUUGAAAGCUGGCCCCCUCGGGGUCCGCGUUGUAAUUUGCAGAGGAUGCUUCGGGUGCAGCCCCCGUCUAAGUGCCCUGGAACGGGCCGUCAUAGAGGGUGAGAAUCCCGUCUGGGACGGGGUGUCUGCGUCCGUGUGAAGCUCCUUCGACGAGUCGAGUUGUUUGGGAAUGCAGCUCUAAAUGGGUGGUAAAUUUCAUCUAAAGCUAAAUACUGGCCGGAGACCGAUAGCGCACAAGUAGAGUGAUCGAAAGAUGAAAAGCACUUUGAAAAGAGAGUUAAACAGCACGUGAAAUUGUUGAAAGGGAAGCGUUUGCGACCAGACUCGCCCGCGGGGUUCAGCCGGCAUUCGUGCCGGUGUACUUCCCCGUGGGCGGGCCAGCGUCGGUUUGGGCGGCCGGUCAAAGGCCCUCGGAAUGUAUCACCCCCCGGGGUGUCUUAUAGCCGAGGGUGCAAUGCGGCCUGCCCGGACCGAGGAACGCGCUUCGGCUCGGACGCUGGCGUAAGGUCGUAAAU